rnacentral:rRNA from 1 species
UACUACGGCCAUGCCACCCUGAAUGUGCCUGAUCUCGUCUGAUCUCAGAAGCUAAGCAGGGUUGGGCCUGGUUAUUACUUGGAUGGGAGACCACCUAGGAAGAAGACCAGGUGCUGUAGGUG